AAAUUUUUGACUGAUCUGAAUCCCGCAGCGUUUGACUCCCUAUAUGGUCGGAGUAGCGGUUCAUUAGGAGAGAUAGAUUUCUCUCGAUUCCAUUGACCUUGCUCGAUUUCCCACAAAUAUUUGGGACUUCUGGUUUCGUUUUCUUAAUCGAAUUUACCGAAGAUUGUCCGAUUCUCGCCUCUGGGGUAACGAACGGACCAUAGAGAUUAAAAUUCUCGAAGGUUUAAAGCUUUCAAUUAUUAAACAAUAUAUUUUUGAAAGAACAGCACAUCUUUAAGGGAUAUGGGGUAAAUUGGGUUGGUGAGUGUGUUAAUUUGCGAAAUGGGUUGAAUAAGUAUUCUCUUUUUAUAUAAACUAUAAUUAUUGGACCCUCAUGUUACUGAGCCUUUAGUCACAUCCUUUACAAGAAGAAAUGCCCUCUUCAAUUUUCAACCGUCAUUUGGCAAUAAAUCCGAAAAUAACUCAAAAAAUGAUGAUCUGAAUUUGCUCUCUAGAGAUCAAAUUCUAUGAAUUUGGCCCAUUUCAACCGCAACAAAAACAUAUUUUUCAUAUCGGGAUUCAGUGGUCAAAUCGAUUCCUUGUUAUCAUCCUCUCUCGCCAUGGGAUUCACUGCCUUAUUUCUCUCACCAGAGUCGAGAAUUCCUACGGUACAUUGCGGAGACACCACACCAGUACGCAAAUGGUUCCUCGUUUCUUUGGAGGAGCAUCACCAUUUCCUUCCUUCACAUUUACUCUUCAACUGUGUGGUAGAACCAAUCCUAGCUAUGGAAUGGCAUGAAUGUGUGAGUGGAAUGUAGGACUUGAAUGAUCUCGUCGUGGAGUGAUUGUCAACACAGGCGAUCUGCGAAUAGAUGCAGAAAGACAUGAUAUCUUGAGAUUCAAUUGGAAGUGUCAUGAAGUCCAUGUGGAAGCCGGAAGCCGAUGGAGAAGAAGAAGAUUCUGCUCCAAGAAGAGUGAGUGUUGCCAUGACUCGGUAGACUGCAAACAAAAACCGUUCCACAAACAGACAUCAUGAUGAUGAUGUUGUUGAUGAUCAGGAUUAUCAUGCAAUCGUUGUGGUUACUGCAAGCUCAUUGCAGCGAUUACGUACACAAUGGAGUCCGCAGAAGUGGCCUUAAUCAAAUUAAUAUAAUCAUGGAUUUAAAAGACAAAGUAUUUAAGAUAACAUAGCACUCAACUCUGGUCGAAAAAAAGGGCUCAUUUUUAGUGUUUAGACUUGAGUCGGUUGCAAAAGUGGCAGUUGUAUGCAAUGUUGGUUUAGGCACUAAUCAUAUCUUUCCAAGUGUUUUUUACAAGUUUGAUCAAGUUUUAGACUCAACCACAAUUAAUCUUGCUCUCCGUUACCUCUGAUUGAACCACUUUGGCACAUUUAGUAUGUAUUGGAUGUUGAAAAAAGUGAAGAGAUUCUCUCAUCACAUUUGCAUUUGUCUAGACCCUCACCAGUAUAAUCUUCCUCAUUACAAUAAAACAACGGUCAAGCUUCUUGUUGCAAUCAAA